UAGUUUUAUUAUUAACAAAUCAAAAAGAAAAAGUUAUCAUUUUUCUCUUCUCCUUCACCGAAAUAUGCAGCAAAGAAAGGGCUUUGAAGCUGGAAAGUUUUAGCAACAUAUUUCACUUGCUUGUAAGUGAUUUUAAUGUAUUUGCUUGAUGAUUUUUACAUUUUUGGAACCCCUAAAGCAUGAGCUUUCAUAAGAGGGGACUAUUUUGCAAAAUGAUGAAGAGUCUAGGGUUUUGCCAUGAGAGUAAAUGUGUUGUUUGCUGUGUUUUUAUGGAAGAUUAUGAGUCCUAGUUGUCUAAUAAACAACUUUUGUGAAAGAAAUUGCAUGAAAACACCUUAAAAAGGGCUAGAUUGCUAAGUUGUAAAAUGAGUUGUAAAUGUGUGAAAUAGUUGAAAUUAUGAGUUGCUAUAGUUAUGAAAAUGGUUCAUCUAGACUCAAGGAGUAAAGAAAUGUGAUAAAAAUUAUUUUACGAGCCUAGGGGUAAUUUGGUAAUUUUGGCAAAAUAUAGGGGAAAAAUUGUAAAAAAAAUGCUCAAGUGUGUCAAUGGACUAAUUUGAUCAGUAAAUUGUUUUAAUAAGUUGAAUGUGAUAUUUUAGAUGAUGAAAAUCGAGAUUUGGACCUAGAACGGAAAGAAAUCGAUUAAGGGAUAAUUACGUCUUUUUUUCACCUUUGUGGUAUCGAGGUAAGUUCAUGUGUAAAUAAUGUAGCAUAAUUGUUAUUUUUAAGUUAUUGAUGUUAAAUAUAUGAUAUGCUGAUUUUUAUCAUUAAAUAUAUGCUUUGUGGUUAUUUUCGAAUAAAAUGCAAGUUAUGUGUAUUAUCUGUUAAAUAUAAAGUGCUACUGAGUAUUGGUUUCGGUAUUUUACGGAAGAUGGCAAGGAUAUGUGUUCGAGGAAAAUCCCGUUUGAACCUUAGGAAUAGAUUAGGAUACAAGUGACAUGUCACUAGGAUGGUUGAGCAUCCGAACUCGUUGAGUUGAGUCCGAGUUCACUUAUGGAUGCGAAUGUUCGAACUCGUUGAGUUGAGUCUGAGUUCGUGAGAUGUAACUAGGCAUCCGAGCUCGUUGAGUUGAGUCCGAGUUCACUUAUGGGCGGGUUACAUUGUAGCUUGGCUACAUAUGUGGCACUUAUGUGCAAACUUUCUAUGUAUCCGAAUUAUAUUCCGAUGUGUUCAACAGGUAAAAUUCUACUCAAAUGGAGGAAUACUCGAGAUGAAAGGGACGUAUUGGUAAAUGUUGUGAAAUGGAUACUUUGAACAGGUAUGUACUUAACCCUCGGGUUGAAAACUCGACAUAACAACAAUAUGGUAAGAUGGUAAAUGAAAAUGUGAUAUGAAUGUCUCGGUGAUGAUUAUACAAACGAUGUUGUAUUAAUUUUGUGAACAAUGAUCAUGAAUGAGUAAUUUAGCCUUAACAGAUUUGAGUUACUGCAGUAGUGUAACUUUGAAAAUACACUAAAAAUAGUGGAAAAUGAGUUAGAGGCAGAAUAAAAUAUGGGAUUAAAGCUUAAUGAGUCUAUUUUCACAUGAAAGAAACAGGUGAAGAAAAAGAAUUCCAUAUUGUGUGAUAUUUGAAUUCUUGUGAAAUAGGGUCUUGAAUGAAUUCGAGAUCCCCUGUUCUGACUUUAGAAAUUCACCAAAAAUUGUAAAAAAAUUAUUAAGAGUCAUACCUUACAUGCAUAGAUUCCUUAUUGAGUCUAUUUUUAGGGGAAAUAAAUUCCAUGGUCGUUGGAAUUUUGUACAGGGAGAAAUUUGGUUUGUAGUGCACAGGGGUCAGAGUGGUCAUACCCUGAAACAGGGGAGACUUUAACUAAUAAACUGUACUAAUUGGCCCAACCAAAAAUUCUAGAAAAAAAAUUAGUAAGUAGACAUAUGAGUCUAGUUUCAAGAGAAAUAGACGAGAACAUUAUUCGAGUCUUGUACUAUGAGAUAAUUGAACUUUAGUACAGAAGGGUCGGAACUGUCAGACAGUGAAUCAGGGGUAACUUUGAGGAAUAAACUGUACUAUUUGGCUUAACCCAAAAUUCUGAAAAUUUUAAGGAAGAAAGGAAAAUUAGUCUAGUUUCAGGGAAAAUUAACGGAACUUAAUUUGGAGUUUCGUAGCUCCAGAUAUAAAUAAUUUAGUGACUGUUGCUCAGGAAGACAGCUUGCAGUGAACUUGAGAAUAUGUUGUAAACAUUGAUAAAACAAGUUAAUGAGUUGCUUAUUGUUUUCAUAUGAACUUACUAAGCGAAAGCUUACCCCCCUUCUUUUCCAUGUUUUCUAGAGUUUCCAGGUUAGCUCGGGUUGGAGGCCGUCAGAGAUAUUAUCAUACUGUCGAGUUAACGCUAUCGGCGUAAGUAAACUCAAGUGAUUCUAGUCUAUGGCAUGUAUAGGGUUUUAAUGUGAGUAUGUAAUAUUAUGAUUUAGCCAAAGACAUUGGCUUUUUAUUAAGGUAGUAUUAGUCAUGUAAAUUGGCCUAUGUCGGCUAAUAUCGUUAUGGGCCCAUAUGAUUAUUCUUAUGCAUGUAUAUUAUUAUCUCUUGUGAUGUGGCUUACAACAUGUAUGCCUAGAGAUUGAAUUGAGAUUCAUUGAUGAGCUAAUAACUAAUGCAGGAUUAAGUGAUUGGUAAAUAGUUAAUAAUGCUUCAUGAAUGGUUUGUGGAUAUGAUUAUGCAUGCUUUGUGAUGGACAUGAGGUUUGAUGACAUGUUGAUAGCUAUAGCAUUAAUAUGAUAAAGAUGAAAGAAAAACUUAUUGUAAUGGUUGCAUGUGAAAUUACCAUGGUCAUGUCAUGUUAGGAAGGUUUAAGUGCCUAAUUUUGCCAUUUGUAUGCUAUUGUAUAAGUAUGCGUGAAUGUGUUGUGAGUGUGACAAAAUGGCUUGGAAAAUAGCCUUAUAUUUGUCCAGGUUUUGGACAUGGGUUGGGCAUGUCCUUAGCACCCGGGCGUGUGUUCUAUACCUACACGGGCGUGUGGAGCCUUGAUACAAUAAAUUUCUUAAGUUUUUCAUGAGUUCUCGGUUGGGUCUCGAACCACCCCGAAUGCAUGUAUUGUGUAACACCCCUUACCCGUAUCCAACACCGGAAUAGGGUAAGAGGCAUUACCAAAACACAUACACUUGUAAACGUAUUUAACCGAGUUAUAAAAUUUCAUCAAAAU
rnacentral:lncRNA from 1 species